rnacentral:ncRNA from 1 species
UACCUGGUUGAUCCUGCCAGUAGUCAUAUGCUUGUCUCAAAGAUUAAGCCAUGCAUGUCUAAGUACAUGCCGAAACAAGGCGAAACCGCGAAUGGCUCAUUAAAUCAGUUAUGGUUCCUUAGAUCGUUUCUUCCUACUUGGAUAACUGUGGCAAUUCUAGAGCUAAUACAUGCAGUGAGCCCGAAGCCCCUCGGGGCGACGGGUGCUUUUAUUAGACCAAGAUCAAUCGGGCUUCGGUCCGUUUUGUGUGGUGACUCUGGAUAACUUUGUGCUGAUCGCACGGCCACGAGCCGGCGACGUUUCUUUCAAGUGUCUGCCUUAUCAACUGUCGA